rnacentral:lncRNA from 1 species
UUAGGCUUGUUUUGUGGAUGUUUUGGGUGCAGUUUGAGGGUGUGGUUUGGUGGAGUUUUAGGGCUGUGGAUGAAAGUUUUAGAUCUAUGGUAGAUUACAAUAAAGGUUUGAUAGAAAUCAAUGAAAGUUGCUACAGGUAUGUGUUGUCUUGUAAGAGCAGAAUUGUCAUCGAAGAAACAACGGUUUCUCGAUGAAAUUUCUACCAAAAACUUGAGAAAUUUGAGGAGGGAAUUGACAGUAAAAUCUCAGUUUAUAUGACAGCAAGGAUGUCUAAUUUAAUCAAAAAAAUUUCGGUAGUAUAACAGCAAGGAAAUUGGUGCAAGUUGCGAUAGCAAAAUUCUCGUCGAAAAAUUUUAGCGGUUUGCAAUGAAAAUUUACAGCAACACAAAAUUGUUUUUAGAGAUGAAUUCCUCAAUAGAUCAAUCUUAGAUGGAAG